AUUUCUUUUAAAGCUUCUUCACCUUUGCUACCGGUUUGUUUUACAAAGUCAUCAUAGAAAGGUUUCAUUGAGGCUUUGAACGGUGCAAGAUCAGGUUUGGUUACUGUGACACCUUGC
rnacentral:antisense_RNA from 18 species